rnacentral:misc_RNA from 1 species
UACGGAGGGUGCAAGCGUUAUUCGGAAUUACUGGGCGUAAAGCGCGCGUAGGUGGCUUGUUAAGCCGGUUGUGAAAGCCCGGGGCUCAACCUGGGAACGGCAUCCGGAACUGUCAAGCUAGAGUGCAGGAGAGGAAGGGAGAAUUCCCGGUGUAGCGGUGAAAUGCGUAGAGAUCAGGAGGAACACCAGUGGCGAAGGCGGCCUUCUGGACUGACACUGACACUGAGGUGCGAAAGCGUGGGUAGCAAACAGG